UGUGUGAACUUUGAACAGUGCCCCUGUAGGUGGGAAUUGGUAUUGCAAGGUACACACAUUCGCGCCAAAUAACACACAUUUCCCCGCUAAAUCAUACACAUUUCCCCGCCAUAUCGUACAAUUGGCCGUAAACGUCGGCUGUUUCGAGAAGAUUCGCCGCGUUUGGAGAAGUGAUUAACAUCGGAGCUGCAACAGUUCUUCAGCAUCAUGGAAUUUACCGAAAACUGAAAAGGGACUAAAUCCUCUCAGAGAUACAGAACAGCACGUGAAGUUGGACAAAGAUUAAGACAUACAUGGAUAUAUAUAUAUAUCAAUCACACCAAAGGGCGAGGUGUAUUUGCAAAAGGCUUUAUGUUGAAAGGUUCAUUCAUUCUUGAAUCCAG